rnacentral:misc_RNA from 1 species
CGCACAUUGCGCCCGGUAGUAUUCUACCGGGCAUGCCUGUUCGAGCGUCAUUUCAACCCUCAAGCACUGCUUGGUGUUGGGGCGCUACCUCACGGUAGGCCCCCAAAUUCAUAGGCGAGCUCGCCAGGACCCCGAGCGUAGUAGUAUUCUUCUCGCUUUGGGCGUUCUGGCGGUGCGCUGCCUCUAAGCCUUUCCGGCCGCCCUCACCGGCGCCGGGAAACUCACACAAGGUUGACCUCGGAUCAGGUAGGAAUACGCGCUGAACUUAA